GCUGGAAUAGCUCAGUUGGUAGAGCAGAGGACUGAAAAUCCUCGUGUCACCAGU
rnacentral:tRNA from 1 species